UCAUGGCGUCAGGGAUUCUCUGCACGGCUGUGCUGCUGGCGUGGCUGGCCACGGGCGCUGCCGCCUCGCUGGCGCUCAGGCCUACUACGACGGCCUACUACGACUACACGUACCGCCAGCCCGCGCGCUACGUCUACCGCCGGCCACUCUACGCUCACUCCUUCAGCUCCGUCUACAGGUACCCGUAUGCAUCGCAGCCGUACCUUCUAACAGACUAUCCGAGGUACUAUGGGCGCUAUGAUGGACUGAUAGACUACGACUAUGGUAUCUACGGUGGCUAUGGGUCCUACGGAGGCUAUGGUGGUUAUGAUGGAUAUGGUGGAUACGGUGACUAUCGUGGCUAUGGUGGCUAUGGUAGAUAUUACUUGUGAAAUGACCACUCGAGUGUCACUGUGCCUGUAAAGUGUUUACACUUGUCAGCCAACUGCGGCCUCUUAACGAGUGAAAUGUU